UACGAAGGGGGCUGGCGUUGCUCGGAAUCACUGGGCGUAAAGGGUGCGUAGGCGGGUCUUUAAGUCAGGGGUGAAAUCCUGGAGCUCAACUCCAGAACUGCCUUUGAUACUGAGGAUCUUGAGUUCGGGAGAGGGUAGCGGAAUUCCCAGUGUAGCGGUGAAAUGCGUAGAUAUUGGGAGGAACACCAGUGGCGAAGGCGGCUACCUGGACCGGUUCUGACGCUGAGGCGCGAAAGCGUGGGUAGCAAACAGG
rnacentral:rRNA from 1 species